AAAACGCAAACGGAAUAUCAAAAAUUGUUGUGAUGUGAUAUUUUUUCGAUGAACUUUUAUUUAAGGGUUACACCAUAUCGAGAAGUUAUCCAAUGAGAAAGCCGCUUAAAUUUUGUCUGAGUCCGGUCUUGGACUAAUGAAACGCCUUUGUGCCAGAGUGGACUUCAUUUUUUAAUUAGAAAGUCAACACACCCGCACACACAGACAUACGUGCAUGAGCCCGAGAAUCCUUAAUCGAAAAGUGCUGCCAUAUGGAGAGGCGCCUUUGUAAGGACGGCAGGACUCCAUCCCCUCAGCUCUGUGCUUGUUUGCUUUUGUUUAUUUGUGUGCUACUUAAGAUGAAAUGGCAAAGAAAACUGACGUUGGAUGCCAGAUGCCAGAAAGAGACGAACAAAUGGGCGAAUGAGCUGGCCCGUGUCCGUUUCAAUUUCUCCUACCAAGUCAGUCCUGGUCCUUCACGCAGACAUUUUCUUUGAGUUUCCUCCUUGCUGCUGCCGCUGCUCCUGAUUCUACUCCUGCCGCUGCUGCAGCUAAAAAUAAAAAAUUGAAAGAAAAAGGCAAACAGACUACUAGUCUGAGUUAGAGGAACGAGUGCAACAGCAACGGCCGAGGCAGAGACAGCGGCAGCGGCGGAAACGGAAAUUGCUGAAGUUGCAUGUGUAUGUCCUCCUACAUAUAUACGCGUACUUAUGUGUGUGUAAUGAUGCGCCGUGUUAUCCUUUUGCUGACAGCAGACGCCGCUAGUUGUUGCAUUUACAAGCAGGCUGCAAUUAUUUUCAGCUUAGGCGACAAAAUAGAAGGAAGCAAGUCUUAAGCAUUUUCCAUUUCCCAGACUCGUUAUUAUCCAGCUCGAUGCCACAUAAAUGAGUUUGUUGCUGUUCCUACUUCUAUGCUUAGAUGUUUCUUUUUUAUUAUGCUGGCAUAUACUAAAUAUACCCAUAUCAUAAAAGAGAUUCAAAUAUAA
rnacentral:sRNA from 1 species